UACGUAGGGGGCAAGCGUUGUCCGGAAUCAUUGGGCGUAAAGCGCGUGUAGGCGGCUGAGUAAGUCUGCUCUGAAAGCCCGGGGCUCAACCCCGGGAGGCGGGUGGAUACUGCUCAGCUCGAGUCCGGAAGAGGAGUGUGGAAUUCCUGGUGUAGCGGUGAAAUGCGCAGAUAUCAGGAGGAACACCGGUGGCGAAGGCGGGUCUCUGGGCAGUAACUGACGCUGAGGAGCGAAAGCGUGGGGAGCGAACAGG
rnacentral:rRNA from 1 species